rnacentral:lncRNA from 8 species
UGUAUUAUUAAUUCCUUACGAUAUUGCCUUAUACUAAUUACAGAUUAACAAUUUAAAAGAUCUGCAGGGUUAUGCUCUCAGAUGUCUUGUUAGAUGAAACACACUUUCCAUGGCCUAAUAACAUACAGUAUAUGAUAUGUUUUAUUCCAGUCCUCUGUUAUCUUCAACCAUCCUUCUAGGAAUUGCCCACAUAUUCGCAAGCAACCUUUAGACUUAAUCUGAGGACAUAUUGUUCAUGAUCCCUUAUAUAAGCAAUGUGUAAAUCAGCUCUGGUCACAAAAACCAAUUCUGUGAAGACCAUACAGCUUCCCAUUUAAACCACAGAGAGGACAUACAGUACAGUAAGUGAAACUUGUUAACCUUCAGCCUGUGACAGUCAAGUUCUGCUUAGUUCUAUUUCCCUGUGUAAUCGUGUGAUCUUACAGAUCCUUUAGUGUUACUGUUGUCUUUCACUGUCCUACCAGUGACUGAAAAUAGUGGCAAAUAAUGUGUGGUGUGGUUGUCAUGUGGUCUUUGUGUGUGUGUGUGUGUGUGUGUGUGUGUGUGUGUGUGUGUGUGUGUGUGUGUGUGUGUAUAGGCUCACUGAAGUGAUGUGCUCUGUAUAUUGAGCUACACCCUCCCUUCUUCCUCCAUGAGCUGAGAUCCGUUACUCUCUCUCAGUGUGACUACAUUACACUGGCCUUUCCCCCUCCCCCACUGAGCGUGCCUUAUAAAGUUGGGUCCUGGGGUGGGCGACGGCAUGGAAAGCAGGCCUUUUCUCCAGUUCCACUGCAGUUAUUGAUGAGGGAUUUUCAGUUGUUCAUCAUUUAUUUUAUUUGCUUGAUGACUGUCUUCGGUGCAUCUAUCCACGGAGAAGCUUUGAAAUCCAUAUUUCCAGGGUGUGGAGCUGGUGGAGUCAUAUUGAGAGGAUGUUAGUCUUCAGAUGUAACCACUCUACACAAGCUUUUACUUUUCUGAUUCACUUGAAAAUAUAACAACAGAAAUAAAUUGGCUCCCUCCAAG